GGGUCUGUGACGCAGCGUUUUGAGUUUUGGGAAUGUUUAGGAGUUUUCUAGUUUAUUAUCCUUAUAUUAUAGUUCUGUGUUUUGUAUUUGUUGUCAUUCAGGCCUUUGUUACUAUUUUGUUAAGUUUGUGUUCUAGGUUUUGUUUCUUAUACUCAUCAUAUUCUGCUAUGCUCCUUAUUUGUACUUUCUUUCUGGUCUUGGUUUUGUUAUCUUGGCUUUUGGUUACUGUUAUCAUGCCUCCCCUGUGUUCCGUGUCACUUUUUUAGUCUGUCUUGUUCAUGUGUUUCUCUCCAGUCCCUGUGUAAAGCCCGUGUGUCUUAGUUUGUUUCUCAUUGUGUGUGACUUCCUGCUUUACUUUGACAUUCUCUUGUCCUGUCUGCUGCUUGUUCAGUUUUGCUUCUGCUGUCUCGUCAGUUAGAUCACAUUCAGCCGUGUUCCCCAGGUGUUGCCUCUCUGACCUGAUUUCCUUUUGUGUAUAUAUUGGCUGUAUCCCAAUUCAGGGUCUGCAGCCUUAAAGGCCGCAUUUUAAGGCUGAUUACGUCACAGCGGCGCGACGAAGGCUGUCCCAAUUUGAAGGCUGCUCCAAAUGCAGCCUCAAAUGCCUCCUUCAUUUCCCUGAAUUUGAAGGAUGGGUCGGUGUAUCCUUCAUGGCCCAACAUAUCCCAGAAUUCAUAGCGCGGUGGUGGGUGUGGAUAGUUUUGCCGAAAAAAACGACGGAAGGUUGAAGCGGGGCAGCGGAAGAGUGAACUCUCAAAACUUAUCACACAUUUGAUUUCCAUGUGUGACGACUGCAAGUGUCCAGAGUGAGGACAGACUGAGGGACCCACUGCUGCACAUCAUCUGUGAGGCUUUGCACCCCUGAUGAUCCACCAGGACAAACUCAGCAGUGUGUGAGGAAGAGGAGGAGGAAGAGCCAGCAGCAGCCGACAGAUGGAGAGAAUAGACAGACUGUUCCCUGUUUGUGAACGACUGCUAGGAAAGUUUAAAAUAACUAAUUGUCUGUCCUGAAUCAGUCUUAUUAGGUAAUGUUCAAAUAAUUUUAUUAUUCCAGUGUUUUCAGUGUGGGAGAAAGUACUCAGGGCCUUCAAGUUACACACUAUGAAAGGCAGAAACAAGUUUAAUAUUCAGAAACCUAAAGUAUGUAUCAGCAGCAGAAUGGAGCUAAAAAUAAAUGUUUGUUUCAGUUCUAUGAAGCUUUGAGUAUUUUGGAUUAGUAGUACUGCUGUGUUUGUUGCAUCAUAUUGCUGUAAUUGUUUAUAUGCUUUAUAUAUUCUGAGGUAAGUUGAUCUAUAGUGUUACAUCAUAUUCUAAAAGGAUGUUAUGUGUUUGUAUACUUUCUGCUCAGUUUGCCCCAUUUAGCAGAAGUCAGCCUGUUUAAGGCUCUGAUAUCUAUUCUGUAUGACUUAAAGCAGUUAUGACAUGGUCUGAUUUUCUCACCCAAUAAACG
ensembl:lncRNA